rnacentral:rRNA from 1 species
ACGAACGCUGGCGGCAUGCCUAACACAUGCAAGUCGAACGCAGCCUUCGGGCUUAGUGGCGCACGGGUGCGUAACGCGUGGGAAUCUGCCCUUGGGUUCGGAAUAACAGUUAGAAAUGACUGCUAAUACCGGAUGAUGUCUUCGGACCAAAGAUUUAUCGCCCAAGGAUGAGCCCGCGUCGGAUUAGCUAGUUGGUGAGGUAAAGGCUCACCAAGGCGACGAUCCGUAGCUGGUCUGAGAGGAUGAUCAGCCACACUGGGACUGAGACACGGCCCAGACUCCUACGGGAGGCAGCAGUGGGGAAUAUUGGACAAUGGGCGAAAGCCUGAUCCAGCAAUGCCGCGUGAGUGAUGAAGGCCUUAGGGUUGUAAAGCUCUUUUACCCGGGAUGAUAAUGACAGUACCGGGAGAAUAAGCCCCGGCUAACUCCGUG